AUGGCGGGGUCGAUCCGCGUCACCAUGGAGGUCGGCGCCGACGGCGUCGCGCUCAUCACCAUCUGCAACCCGCCGGUCAAUGCUCUGCACCCCAUCAUCAUCGAGGGGCUAAAGGAGAAGUACGCCGAGGCCCUUGAUCGCGACGACGUCAAGGCCAUCGUGCUCACUGGCGCGGCUGGCAAGUUUUGUGGAGGCUUCGAUAUCAAUGUAUUCUCAAAAGUUCAUGAGACUGGAGACGUGUCCAUUUUGCCUGAGAUGUCUUUUGAGCUUGUGUCGAAUAUGAUGGAAGAUGGCAAAAAGCCUUCUGUCGCUGCAAUUCAAGGCCUUGCUCUUGGCGGUGGUCUAGAGUUGACUAUGGGUUGUCAUGCUCGGAUAGCUACCCCUGAAGCUCAACUUGGAUUACCAGAGCUAACUCUUGGCGUGAUUCCUGGAGCUGGAGGAACUCAGCGUCUACCGAGGCUUGUAGGUCUGCCCAAAGCAAUAGAAAUGAUGCUGCAAUCGAAGUUCAUUACAGCCAAGGAAGGAAAAGAACGUGGUUUUAUUGAUGCGCUUUGCUCCCCUGAUGAGUUGAUAAAAAUGUCACGCUCUUGGGCUCUGGAGAUUGCAAAUUACCGUAAACCUUGGAUAAGAUCUCUUGGCAGAACAGAUAGGCUUGGUUCACUGUCUGAAGCUCGUGCUGUAUUAAGUAUGGCAAGGCAGCAAGCAAAUAAGGUUGCAGCAAACAUGCCACAGCACCAGGCCUGCCUAGAUGUUAUUGAAGAAGGUGCACUAUAUGGAGGCCAUGCUGGUGUUGUGAAGGAAGCAAAGGUUUUCAAGGAGUUGGUAGUAUCAACCACAUCAAGGGCACUUGUCCAUGCAUUCUUCGCCCAGCGUUCCACCACUAAGGUACCAGGUGUUACUGAUAUUCAACUCAAACCUAGGAACAUAAGAAAAGUUGCUGUUAUUGGUGGUGGUCUUAUGGGUUCUGGAAUUGCAACAGCCCUUCUUGUUGGCAAUAUAUCUGUUGUCCUCAAGGAAGUAAACCCUCAAUUUUUGCAAAGGGGACAAAAAACAAUAGCAGGAAAUCUGGAGGGCCUUGUCAAAAGAGGCUCAUUGACCAAGGAUAAAAUGAGCAAGGCCAUAUCACUUCUCAAGGGUGCAUUGGAUUAUUCAGAUUUCAAGGAUGUUGAUAUGGUUAUUGAGGCUGUUAUUGAGAAGGUUCCUUUGAAGCAAUCAAUUUUUGCUGACAUUGAGAAAAUCUGCCCACCACAUUGCAUACUUGCAACGAACACUUCCACCAUCGAUUUGAAUGUUAUUGGCGAGAAGACAAAUUCUCAAGAUAGAAUUAUUGGGGCUCAUUUUUUCAGCCCUGCUCAUAUUAUGCCCUUGCUUGAAAUUGUCCGGACGGAAAAGACAUCACCACAAGCUAUCCUUGAUCUCAUUACAGUUGGGAAAAUAAUAAAGAAAAUCCCCGUUGUUGUUGGCAACUGCACAGGCUUUGCAGUAAAUCGUACAUUUUUCCCUUACACACAAGGUGCUCAGCUUCUAGUUAGUCUUGGCAUUGAUCUUUUCAGAAUUGAUCGAAUAAUAAGCAACUUUGGCAUGCCAAUGGGACCUUUUCAACUCCAAGAUUUAGCUGGAUAUGGAGUAGCCUUAGCAGUGAAGGAUAUCUAUGCAGCUGCCUUUGGAACACGGAAUUUUAACUCCGUUCUAGUGGAUUUGAUGGCGGAGACUGGGCGGCAGGGUAUGCUUCUGAACCUGCUUUUGCUCCAGCUAUGGGUUACAGUAAAUAGGAUGGGAAAGAGCAAUGGAAAAGGUUACUACCUUUAUGAGAAGGGUGCGAAGCCAAAGCCUGACCCUAAUGUUCAACAUGUGAUUGACGAGUACAGAAGACAGGCAAAGACAAUGCCGGGUGGAAAGCCUGUUACUUUAUCAGAUCAAGAUAUAUUGGAGAUGGUUUUCUUCCCAGUCGUUAAUGAGGCAUGCAGGGUCAUGGAUGAAAACGUGGUGAUCAGGGCUGCUGAUCUUGAUAUCGCAUCUGUUCUUGGGAUGGGCUUUCCUAAGUACAGGGGUGGCCUCAUCUUUUGGGCUGACACGGUGGGAGCAUCUUAUAUACAUUCAAAGCUUAGCAAGUGGGCUGAAAUGUACGGUGAUUUCUUCAAACCAUCAUCAUAUUUGGAGGAAAGAGCAAAAAGCGGCCGACCACUGGCCGCGCCACGGACGGCUCACCAAGCUUCGACGAGGUCACGCAUGUGA
rnacentral:rRNA from 1 species